CAAAAUUUGAGAGAAAUAAACUUUUUGUGAAUAUGGAACAUUUCUGUUUUAUUUCAGCUCAUGAAACAUGGGACCAACACUUUACAUGGUGUAUUUAUAUUUUUGUUCAAUAUCAAACAAACAUGCCUCUCUGACAUGUAAAAUACUGAAAUCACAGCAGCUCUAUUCAUAGAAUUUUUAUCUAGAAUGUUCCAAAACCUUUUCCUACUGAACAUGGCCCUGGUUUUAAAAAUGGCAGUUAUUGGCAACACCAUGGCAACAACACAACCACAACCAACUCUGAUUGGCCAGUCAAAAGACACAACCAACUCUGAUUGGCCAGUCAAAAGACACAACCAACUCUGAUUGGCCAGUCAAAAGACACAACAAACUCUGAUUGGCCAGUCAAAAGACACAACAAACUCUGAUUGGCCAGUUAAGCCAGACAGAGGUACUGUAUGUAGUAAAAAAACAACUUUAAAAAGCAGGAAUAAUAAACAAUAAUAAAACAAUGCAAUACUGUGAGAUCAUGGCACAGAUAUAGACAGACUGACCGGCAGAUAUAUGACCAUAGAAAUAGACACAGGCAGGGUAUAGAUAAUACUGGUGUGGUACUUUAAAAAUACCGCAGCGUUGUUGGAGCAACACUACGUAGUUGUGUGUUCGUAUCCAUGGUUACCAUAGGUAGAGCCCAGCCUCGUUCCAGACACAGCGGAGAUAACGUCAGAGCAGGUCCACUGACUACAUCUCCCAGAGGGCUUUUUCCAAAAUAAAAGUCCCCGUGAUAUCUGCACCGGUUGUUCACGAGUAUUGAGUGAACCUCGUGUCAUGUAAGCUACAACAGUACUGUGUGUCUCUGCGUGAUGGUGGACAAGGUUCAGUUUCAAACUGUCACUUCUAGAGAUAUGGGUUUAACAGAUCCCAAGGUCCUGUUUCAAACUGUCACUUCUAGAGAUAUGGGUUUAACAGAUCCCAAGGUCCUGUUUCAAACUGUCACUUCUAGAGAUAUGGGUUUAACAGAUCCCAAGGUCCUGUUUCAAACUGUCACUUCUAGAGAUAUGGGUUUAACAGAUCCCAAGGUUCCGUUGUUUCCAUAUUGGUCAGUGCGUGACCUGAACUCUUAUUGUGAAACACUUUGUUCCAGAUGCAUUUCCUGGGCUCCAUGUAACAGUUCCAUGACACAGAAUAGCCCACCAGGUAACCAACCAGCCAAGUCCAUAUCUCAGAAAGGUAUAGCCACACCUUUUACUCCAUACUGUAGUUACAGCUCCAUAAUCCAUACAGGGCAGAGGACCAUAAACCAUAGCCAGUCUAUUCCCCAUGUAGGUACGAGGUGAGCCAUGUAAUCCCAUCCCAGGUAGGUCCAUCCCAGAUCAGUUUAUCCAGGUAGGUCCAUCCCAGGUAGCCAUAGACAGGUAGGUCCAUCUCGGGUAGCCAUAGACAGGUAUGUCCAUCUCGGGUAGGUCCAUCCCAGGUAGGUCCAUCCCAGGUAGGUCCAUCCCAGGUAGCCAUAGACAGGUAGGUCCAUCCCAGAUCAGUUUAUCCAGGUAGGUCCAUCCCAGGUAGCCAUAGACAGGUAUGUCCAUCUCGGGUAGGUCCAUCCCAGGUAGGUCCAUCCCAGGUAGCCAUAGACAGGUAUGUCCAUCUCGGGUAGCCACAGACAGGUAGGUCCAUCCCAGGUAGCCAUAGACAGGUAUGUCCAUCUCGGGUAGCCAUAGACAGGUAUGUCCAUCUCGGGUAGGUCCAUCCCAGGUAUGUCCAUCCCAGGUAGCCAUAGACAGGUAUGUCCAUCCCAGGUAGCCAUAGAUAGGUAGGUCCAUCCCAGGUAGCCACAGACAGGUAGGUCCAUCCCAGGUAGCCAUAGACAGGUAUGUCCAUCUCGGGUAGGUCCAUCCCAGGUAUGUCCAUCCCAGGUAGCCAUAGACAGGUAUGUCCAUCCCAGGUAGCCAUAGACAGGUAUGUCCAUCCCAGGUAGCCAUAGACAGGUAUGUCCAUACAUGCAGCCAUAGACAGGUAGGUCCAUCCCAGGUAGCCAUAGACAGGUAUGUCCAUACAUGCAGCCAUAGUCCAAGUAAAUCUUAGCCUGCAGGUAUGUCUCCGUCCUCUGUCCCAGGUUAGAUUUGUCCCAGGGCCAGGCUAAACCAGACUUAACCCCGGUACAGUCAUGGUUCUGGCACCAGUGUGGCCCCAGUUAGGCCCUGUGGUCUCAGGACUGGUUGUCCCCAGUAGGGGUUGGUGGUUCGAGUGACAGUUCUUCGUCAGACAGCCCCGUUUCCACAGCGAUCACCAGGGAUGCCACAGACGCACUGCUGGUCAUGGGCUGGAACUCACCUAGAGAGAGAGAGACAGGGGGAGGAGGAGACAAAAGAAGGAUGAGAGAGACCGAGAGAGGGAGAGAGAAAGAGGGAUGAGAGAGAGAAAGAAGAGGGGGGAGGGAGAGAAAGAAAGAGGGAGAGGUGAGGAUGCAAUUCAUUAAAGCUGCCACCAGGUGGCACUAUGAGUGCUGUUUGUGUGUGUGCGUAUGUGUGCGUGUGUGUGCGUGGUGUGACUGUGGGCUGCGUGGUGUGACUGUGCGUGUCGCUAGCCUCGCCCGCCGCCCGGCGCUAGCCUCGCCCGCCGCCCGGCGCUAGCCUCGCCCGCCGCCCGGCGCUAGCCUCGCCCGCCGCUAGUCUCGCCCGCCGCUAGUCUCGCCCGCCGCCUGUCGCUAGUCUCGCCCGCCGCCUGUCGCUAGUCUCGCCCGCCGCCUGUCGCUAGUCUCGCCCGCCGCCUGUCGCUAGUCUCGCCCGCCGCCUGUCGCUAGUCUCGCCCGCCGCCUGUCGCUAGUCUCGCCCGCCGCCUGUCGCUAGUCUCGCCCGCCGCCUGUCGCUAGUCUCGCCCGCCGCCUGUCGCUAGUCUCGCCCGCCGCCUGUCGCUAGUCUGUCGGUAGCUGCGUGUCGGUAGCUGCGUGUCGGUAGCUGCGUGUCGGUAGCUGCGUGUCGGUAGCUGCGUGUCGGUAGCUCGCCUGCGUGUCACUAGUUGCGUGUCACUAGUUGCGUGUCGG
ensembl:lncRNA